GAGACAUAAUAUUAGUGCAAUUUUAUAACCGUUUGUGCUUUUACUGUUUGUUUUUAUGGAACAUCUUCUGUGGGACAACGGAUGGAAACUAACCUUUGGCUAAAAUCUGGAGUGUUUACGUUCAUGUGAAAACAUGUAUGUUCAUUAAUGCUCACUGUCCCCUUUAAAUAAAUAAACUG